UAGAAGGUAAAAGGAUAACCCAUUCCAGGAUUUAGGUUCUACAUAAUAAAUGGGUCAGCAACCCAAAAACUUUAUUUUCCAACAGCCACAAUGCAAAUGACAGCCCCCUGCGCCUAUCUCUCUCCCCACUGAGGUCUGCACAGGAGAGCUUUGGCCUGCCGCCGUGUGGGUGACCUCCGCCGGCCAGCUCAUGGGGGCGAGCGCAUGGGGGAGCGCCGGCACCGCCACCGCACAACCAACCUCCAGCCCACCACCAAGUAGGCGAGCCCACUGCGUUGAGGUUCGCUUGUCUUUCUCCAGAUCCACCCUAACCCGAAAUGGCCUCCUACUACGACGACAAGGACUCCGGCCGCCAUCGCCCUUCCUAGCACCACCCAUCCACGUGGGGGCAGCAGCGACCUUGCCUCGAGCGCGAAGCUCGUGGUGGAGGCGGCCAGGCUAGCACUCUAAGACCACAACCUGGAGGUGGACAAGGGCGGGCUGCGUCAUCGGCGCGGCGGCCGACCUGCUCCAUGCUGCCUCCCAGUACGGCAAGCUCCACCUGGCACCGUCGUCGUCGUCGUCUUCCAACCGACGCCCAGGCCAACCGCUAUCGGCGCAAGAGGAUUGCGUAGUGGGGGAGAGUUAACUUUGCUUUAUCUUCCACUAUUUUAUUUUUUUAUUGAAGUUCGUGUUCAUGUGUGUUCGAAUUUGUUUUUUGUUGGAAAAAAAACCUUGCCACAAUCAAAAAAAAAAAGUCUCCCUUUCUCUUUUCAGGAUUGGGAGGCAAAUCUUAUCGAGUGCAAAAAGACGCGGCAGAGAUUGAACAUGAAAAGAAUAGAAUAAAUUAUUGAAUUGUGAUUGAUCUCCGGUACAUGGCGAAAUGCCACCUUGAUGUCCCUUGGAGAUGUUUGUGUUACACAGAUGAAUAGUAACCACAGGAUUAGAUCUAUGGUUAAUGCUAAUUCUAUCCAGUAAUAAUCCACGUGAAGAUGGAUCCCUGGGAUGAAAUGGAUUGUGAUUUGAUGAUUUGGGUCAUUAAAUGAAGGAGUUUCAUUAGAUGAGAGAAGAGUUUCGUCCCAUCAAAAUUAUGAGUCUCGGUUAUUACAUCGAGACUAGCGGCUUCCACAGUGCUCUAGCUUCGAGUCGACGGCGUCUCCUGUGGCGAUAUACCCACAUACUACAGCUCAACAGGCGCACCGCCACCACCAACCCGGCCCCAGCAGCAGCAGUAGCGCUCAUUGGAGCUGGAGGAGCUCUAGCCAGCUUCACCGAGGAAACCUGCAGGCUGCGUUGGGCGCCGAGAACUUACCACCGGUGUCUCGUCGCGGUCGUCGGUGGGAUCGAGCCACAAGUACUCGGAUUUCCAGUACCACAGAUUAUUGUAUAUGCAUGGUGCCGUCACGGUGUCUGCUGUAGGGAGAUCUCUAUCCUACUCUCUACCAGAAUCACUUUAUCAGAGAAUCAAAGAAGGUGAAGCUAAGAAUAAUUUA